UACGAAGGGGGCUAGCGUUGCUCGGAAUGACUGGGCGUAAAGGGCGCGUAGGCGGAUUGUACAGUCAGGCGUGAAAUUCCCGGGCUCAACCUGGGGGCUGCGCUUGAGACGUGCGAUCUUGGGUGGGGAAGAGGGUCGUGGAAUUCCCAGUGUAGAGGUGAAAUUCGUAGAUAUUGGGAAGAACACCGGUGGCGAAGGCGGCGACCUGGUCCUUGACUGACGCUGAGGCGCGAAAGCGUGGGGAGCAAACAGG
rnacentral:rRNA from 1 species